rnacentral:rRNA from 1 species
AGUGAACGCUGGCGGUAGGCCUAACACAUGCAAGUCGAACGGCAGCACAGUAAGAGCUUGCUCUUACGGGUGGCGAGUGGCGGACGGGUGAGGAAUACAUCGGAAUCUACUUUUUCGUGGGGGAUAACGUAGGGAAACUUACGCUAAUACCGCAUACGACCUACGGGUGAAAGCAGGGGAUCUUCGGACCUUGCGCGAUUGAAUGAGCCGAUGUCGGAUUAGCUAGUUGGCGGGGUAAAGGCCCACCAAGGCGACGAUCCGUAGAUGGUCUGAGAGGAUGAGCAGCGAAACUGGAACUGAGACACGGACCAGACUCCUACGGGAGGCAGCAGUGGGGAAUAUUGGACAAUGGGCGCAAGCCUGAUCCAGCAAUACCGCGUGGGUGAAGAAGGACUUCGGGUUGUAAAGACCUUUUGUUGGGAAAGAAAAGCAGCAGGUUAAUACCCCGCUGUUAUGACGGUACCCAAAGAAUAAGCACCGGCUAACUUCGUG